UACGUAGGGUGCGAGCGUUAAUCGGAAUUACUGGGCGUAAAGGGCGCGUAGGUGGCCUUCUAAGUUGAACGUGAAAUCCCUGGGCUCAACCCAGGAACUGCGUCCAAGACUGGGAGGCUUGAAUCCGGGAGAGGGAUGCGGAAUUCCAGGUGUAGCGGUGAAAUGCGUAGAUAUCUGGAGGAACACCGGUGGCGAAGGCGGCACCCUGGACCAAUACUGACGCUGAGGAGCGAAAGCCUGGGGAGCAAACGGG
rnacentral:rRNA from 1 species